rnacentral:rRNA from 1 species
CCUACGGGAGGCUGCAGUGGGGAAUAUUGGACAAUGGGGGGAACCCUGAUCCAGCCAUGCCGCGUGUGUGAAGAAGGCCCUCGGGUUGUAAAGCACUUUCAGUGAGGAAGAACGCCUGGUGGUUAAUACCCAUCAGGAAAGACAUCACUCACAGAAGAAGCACCGGCUAACUCCGUGCCAGCAGCCGCGGUAAUACGGAGGGUGCGAGCGUUAAUCGGAAUUACUGGGCGUAAAGCGCGCGUAGGUGGCUUGAUAAGCCGGUUGUGAAAGCCCCGGGCUCAACCUGGGAACGGCAUCCGGAACUGUCAAGCUAGAGUGCAGGAGAGGAAGGUAGAAUUCCAGGUGUAGCGGUGAAAUGCGUAGAGAUCGGGAGGAAUACCAGUGGCGAAGGCGGCCUUCUGGACUGACACUGACACUGAGGUGCGAAAGCGUGGGUAGCAAACAGGAUUAGAUACCCGUGUAGUC